rnacentral:lncRNA from 10 species
CGGCAGAUCAAGAGCAUCUCAUCCUCCGGCUGCUGAGUCAUCCUGCUCUGGCAGUUAUUUAAACAGAAGGCUCCAGGAGACAUACAAUCAACACUCCACUCAGACAAUGCCCAGACCUCCAGAAACCAUGUGUCAAGCUCGGAUUGCCUUAGACAGGUGCAAUUUAAGAACAGCUUUCAUCCUCUUUUCUCUCAUAUUGUCACACUAUGUGUUCUGACUUCUGGCUCCUUUCCUCACAAGAAGCUCACCCAGCUGGAACUCUUAUGGGACCUUGGCACCAGAGACCACAAAUUCCUCUUUGAAGUUUUCUAACAGCAACAAUGGUAUUUCUGACUUGGCUUUCUUGUAUUUCUCUCACGUUAACAAAAUUGGUUCAGCAUCUACCAUGGGCUACAUGCUGAGCUACAGAGUUUCGCUCUGUCGCCCAGGCUGGAGUGCAGUGGCGCGCGAUCUCGGUUCACUGCAAGCUCCACCUCCCGGGUUCACGCCAUUCUCCUGCCUCAGCCUCCUGAGUAGCUGGGACUACAGGCGCCCGCCACCACACCCAGGAAUCCAACUUGCUGUUUGCUAUCACAUGUGCUAUACAUGCUGUUGAUGAAACUGCUAAAGGGGCUGAAUGUGACUGACGUCUUUGGAAGGAUGAGACUUAGCGUGCCUGUACAGUUGUGUCCAAAUGCUGUCCUCAUCUCCCAAUGAAAAGCACUGGAUAAAUACAGAACAAGAUAACAAGAGUUCCCAGCAAAGGAUCCAGCUUGAAAUAACACGGUGCUAAGCAUGGAUUUUUCCACCGAAUGAGGAAAUUCUAAUUCUAAUUGUUAGUCUCUUUAUCAAUGACGCCAAGUGGCAAGGAACAUCACCAUCUUUGGAGACCUAGUGGUGGAGUUAAACUACUACAGGGAAACAACUUUACGUAUAGAGGAGUUGAGCUUCCUAGAGGAAAAGAAGGAAAAUCAUUCCUAAUGGAAGAUCAACUAUUCAAGAAAGAAAGAAGA